CAGUCGCCGCGGGAAUACGUAGGGGGCGAGCGUUGUCCGAAGUUACUGGGCGUAAAGAGCGCGUAGGCUGGUCUUUAAGUGAGUGGUGAAAGGUUCGGGCUCAACCCGGACACUGCCUUUCAUACUGGGGACCUUGAGUGUGGGAGAGGCGAGUGGAAUGGUCGGUGUAGCGGUGAAAUGCGUAGAUAUCGAUCGGAACACCCAUGGCGAAGGCAGCUCGCUGGCCUAACACUGACGCUGAGGCGCGAAAGCGUGGGGAGCAAACGGGAUUAGAUACCCCUGUAGUCCCUGUCUCUUAUAC
rnacentral:rRNA from 1 species